UGUUAUUGUCAUGGCGGCGUUUCAAACACUUGACAAGCUUGGAUUAAAAUUUAAACAGUUAACCAUGUUCCAUAUUUUAGUUUACUUCCAGUUAGCGUUAGUUAGGUGCAUAGUUAAUUUAUAAUUUCUGUAUAAACUGAAAAAGUCAAUACAAGCGAUGGUCGAAUGGAUUAUGUUGGGAUUAAUUUAAUGUUUGCAAACUUGAAUUCAAAAGCGUAGUUAGCUUGCUAAUGCUAACUCAUUUGCAUUAAGUAUUGUUAGCUAUUUCUGACAGAGCUCGGCGGUUGUUCUCACUGUAAUGACUGCACAGUUCCUGCAGAGUGGCCCCACGACUUCUGAAGGACAGCAGAGUCGAGGGAGAACCUGGGUUGUUUCAGGUCCAACCCGAAGCGUUCACAACCGCAGCGGUUUAACUACUGCCAUGUCCCAAACCAAGCUCCUGUUCAAUGAAGCCUUCCCUGCAAGUACCAGCAACCGUGCCACCCAUGUAUACCCGCCAGCCCCCAUCGUGAUAGAGAGGCUGCUGCUGCCGCCGCCGUCAGAGGAGCGUGAGAACGUGGAAAGCGCCAUAAGCUCCAUCAGCUUCACCACUCUGUCAGAGGAGAGACUGCGGGCUGCGGUGCGGCUGGCCAAGCGAGAUAUGAGAAGAAGGCGCCUUGAGUCACUGACAAAAUCCCCUGCCAAACCCUCGCAGGAGGCCUCCGUCCAUGAAACAAGUGAUGUAGAGCUGCUCCAGGAGCUUACCGCCACUCCGAAUAAGGCCAAGUUUAAGACCUCCAGUCCAAAAAAGAACUCAACCCGAUUUGGAGCCAAAUUGUCAGCAAACAAACCCCAGAAGCGUCCCAUUGGUGCCAUGUCUCGGAUUGGCCAGUCACCUCCAACCAGAGACCCCGGCCCCAGGCAAUUUGAAGGAGGCAAACGUGCACCUUUAAGCCAGGAGAUUGACAAGCUGCAAAAUGAGCUGGACGUGUAUAUUCAGAAAGUAGAAGCGCUCUCCAACAGAGGGGGGGAAAUAGAGGAGCCACUGGAGCCCGAAGAGCAAAACAAGUUGGAGAUGCGCAGGCAGAAGCAGGCAGGCCGCUCAGCACGUCUCAUCUAUGUUCUCCAGCAGCAGGUCAAAGAGAUACAGGAAGAUGUGGAGAAACUACGAAGCCAGAACAUGUGGGACACCAAAAAGGCCACGACAGUAAACAGGCUUGCAGCUGCGCACCGUGGGACACUCAGGGUCUUGCAGUCUGUUGUCAACCAGCUUUCAGAUCUCUCUCACGGCAAGGUACCCGCUUAUUACAAAGAGCUGAGCCAGCUGAUUCGCCAGCUCUCUCUGUGCUCAGCUAAGGUUGAAGCAGAGCAGGGUUCAGAGACGGCCUUCGACAUCCUGCAGAAACUAGAGACGUUGGAUUCUGCCCUCCAUAAGCAAGAGCUGCUCGAAAAGAUGCAGGCCCAAGCACGUCCUCUACACAGGAAGUCUCCUCAUCACAGCACGUCGCCUACAAGUGCACCCAAGGGUCCCAGCACCUCAACUGUUCGAGGUCCUCGCAAACCAGCAAAUCCCAAAAGAGCAGUCCGAGGUAGGAGAAUGGCCUCACAGAAGCCCAAAGCUGCUCCUCACCAGCUCCUGAACAGACGAGAGGUGCUCAGGGCUGGCCUGCAGAGCCUCGCCCAGAGAGAGCUGCAGGGACGACCUCAGACAAACACCGCCUGCAGAAAAGGAGGGGCUCUACACUCUGGGAGAAGCAAGGCUGGCAUUAGAAUUAAGUGUAAUCAGAUGCAAGAAGCAGGUUUCCAGCAGCCUACAGUCUCCUCUCAGCUCAGAGUGAACCAGCUCCCUCAAAAAGAGCGCUCUGUGCCCUGGAUACCCACAUCGCCUCACUCCCCUCCUCCACAGCGAUCCCCUCAAAGGAGAAGACCAGAGCCUCGAUGUCUCUUUUCUCCCAUGAAGCCCUCGUCCAGCCCUCCUCGGCAGGCGGUGAACGGUGAAGCAGAGCCGGCCCUGAGCUCCGAAAAGAAGACACAAGCUCAGAAUGAAGCAUUAAGGAAAGCCUGGCUGGAUAAGAUGAUGACGCAGAGACUGAAGGAGCUCAACCAGCUGAGCAAAGAAGAGGCUCAACGCAUUCAGACACUACGGUACAGAAGAAGUAUAAUCACAGAUUCAGCAGAAUCUGAGGGGAUGUCAGAAGUUGUCUCGCCAACUCAGUGGGCUGAGAGAACUGAGCAGAAGGCCAGAGAAGGAAUUCAGCCGCUUCUGGAUGAAGCUCAGCAGAUCGGUGAGUCCAGGACGAGGAUCAGCCCCGCGCCGAGGAUCCGGCUGUCUGAGCAGGCGGCAGAGACGGCAGCAGGGAGUGCUGAGCAGCUGAGUGAGGCGCUGCUGGAGGAUCUGCUGGAGGACACUGCGCGGGCAGCGUGGGCGGCUCAGACAGACGGACAGUUUGAGGGCAUGGCCCGGCGUAGGCUGCGGGCCCCCACCCUGGAGAGUAUGCUGCUUCGUAUGGAGGAGAUACAGAGAGACCAGGAAGAAGUGAGGAGACGGUUUGCUUCCAUCACCUACUCGGACCCUCUUUACUGGGACAGACCAGGAGCAGCAGGACCCCAGUGCCAUGCUCCGUGCUCCAGGCCAGCCUCUCCUCAGCCAAUUAGGCUCACGAGGCCGGUGCCGGGGCAGAGCUCUGCAGUUGAUAUUGUCCUGGAGAAGCCUGUGGAGACCGGGUGGGUUGCUACGUCCUUUUUUUAUUUUUUUUAUUUACAAUCAUACAACACAUCAUUUCUACCUCUCUUUUGCUGAUGGCUUCCUCUCCUUAAUGUUUUAUUCAUCUUCAAGAGGAAGUAGGGACAUUUUGGAGUGUUCCCAGAAUAUUAACUGGAGUGCAGUAUCAAGGUUUGACCUAUUUAAUCUUCUGAGCUGAAAUUAAAGGUCUAAUCCCCCAUUUUAAGUAGCCGGUGCUCCCAACACAAUACUAACGAUUAAAUGACAUUAUGACCAUCUGUUUGGACAAAAUAUUAAACAUUAAAAAUCUAGUUAAUUACAGUUCAGGACUUCUGUUGCUAAGAACUACAGCAGCCUCAUCCACAGGAAGUCAUUCACCAUUGGUUUAAUUAGGCCUCUCAACUUAAUGAAAAGUAAAGUGGUUAAUGUUUUUCCAACGAUGCUCAGCGAGUGUUUUGUUUUUUUCCACAUGAUGUGUCGUUGCCCUAUCAUCACUCUCCCACCGGGAGGCCUUAGUCAUCCUGCAAACAGUCACUUGGUGGCUGCCGUACCCAGGGCAGCGUCUAUUCCUGACUCGGGCUACAGACUCCACAGAGAGACCCUCCACUGCCCAGGGCUUUGGCUGCAGCUGCUCUUCUGCUUAAAUUAAUGAGAAACUUGGAAGGAGGAGAAAAAGAGAGCGUAAGGGCUGGAAGUUGUUGACACAGACAAGCCAGCCAGGAUGGCGCUUUUAACAAAUUCAAGCAGCAGCGUUAGCCAAAUUAAGUCCGUGGCCUCGGGUUCCGUUCCCUCGUCGGAUACUUUACCCCAACAUCCACUGUGACUCAUCGUAGACACUAUCUUCAUAGCGCAUCCAUCAAGUAAUGGCUCUAUCGCUUUUUUGUCUUUUUGAGGAGGUGUUUUAAGUCUUUACUUCCUUCAAAGGUAUCCAGCCUUGCAGCUUCUCAACAGGGACAAAGUCAUUUGAGGAUUGCCAGCUCCUUUUUUGUCUUUAAACGGCAUGAAUCCCUGCAGCAUAAAACAGAGACAAACGCGGCUACAUCGCUUUCAUCCUCAGUCCAAAUUACCUUUAAAAAGCGUUGGCACCUGGCUGGACCUUUUUCUGUUUUCCCUUUUCGAACACGUUGAAUCACAGUGGAUGUAAUUAGGAUUCUUUUUACUUUGAUCAGUAGAAAAGAAAUGUCGGUCAAAGUGAAAACAAAUCUCUUUUGAAAUGGACCUGAAUUUAUUACAAGUAUAGAAUACAAGAUGUCGUCAAUUCAUUAAUUCUCACCUCUCGAUUUUGAAAGUUAUUUUAAAUCCACAGCCCGAGCUAAAGAGCUGCAUUAAAGUCUCCAAGAACAACAAUCUUGAUUUAUUUUGGUGCCAGAGUCAACACAGCAUCCUCAUUAAGAGAAGUUCAUUUCCCAGAUGAUAAAAAUGUUAUUGGGACAAACAUUUACGUCGCGGUAGGUACAAGAAACUGCAGCCAGCUUCAGGUCAGUCUAGAUAUUUGUAAACCUGCUAACAGUUCAGGUAAUCAAUACUUUUGUGCAGCAUGAAAUGUACAGGGCUUUAGGAGAAAGGGUAACUUGGAUACGACAGAAUGCGUUCAUGUUGCUUGAACAUCACUUGCAUCAGCAUGAAGGAAAGUAGCCCACACAUGCAGUUUGUUUGUGUGUCAGUGUUGGCUCCUCUCGUCGUGUUCGGUGUAGCAGCAUAGCAAGGUUUGAUUUUUGGAGAGUUUGUGACAGCGAAAUGUGUGAAGAGCUAUUCAUGUGUGUUGUCUCAGCCCUGAUUGGCUGUUCAUAACCCACAUUUCUCAGCCCGCUGCUGUCAGCAGGAAAACGGAUCUCAUAUGCACACAUUUAAACACACAAAGGAAGAAAACAGACAUUUUUUUAACGCUUCUUUGAUUGUCCUGCUUGAUGACUUUUAGGUUAUUGCUUCCUCUUUAUUUUAGGUGCUUUUAUAUAGUAGGCGAUGGGGAAGACUGAUGGGGAAUGCAAUUUUUUUUUAAAUAAUUACUCUCAGCUGAUUUGGUAAAAGAUGAAACAAAGCGGAUUUUAUUUAGUUGUUUACAGUUGCUCAGGCUAACUCAUGAGUCACCACUUACAACAUCGGGGCCUCUCGGAAGAGGGUUCACUCCGCUAUUUGGGAGAAAGGUAGUUGUUUACGUGACACCGAUAUUUCAACCCUUCCGUUGUGCAUCGCUGGCCACAAGACACCGGCACUGUCCUCCCAAAGAGUAUUUCCAAAAACAGCAAAACCCUCGGUGCUGCUUUUUGUGCUCGUGUGAGAGCCAUCAAGCAACCACACAGACAAUGGGGUGAGAGAUUUUAUCUGUGGAAACAUCAGCAGAGCAGAGCAGCAGAUAAGAUUUAUGUAUCCAUGGUGAGAAGCGUAGACGCAGGUGCUGAUUGUCCACACACACACACACACACACACACACACACUCGGCUGAUGCUGAACAACCAACUGCAGCCGCAUCAGCAGGUCAAAUGAAUCAAUGAAAAGAUGAAAGCCCCACUCAGCAAUAUUCUAACCCUUUUCAUGUAGUAUUAUUAUUUAUUUUUUAUCUGCUCUCUCGCUCCACCGUCUCUUUGUUGUCCUCACAGGCCAAGUAUCGCAUGUGGCACAAACAAGCCGCGUUGCUCAGUGAACGGCUGCUCGGUAGAUUUGCGGUCGCGAUGGCUCACGCCCCGCGCAUCCGGUCGCGACCUUACGUUCACAAUGACUCCAAUGCCGCCUGAUAUGAGUCAAAUACAAUACGUUGUCCUUCUGGAAUAUCAAAGAUGACCGAGUAGAGCAUUGAUGAAUACGCAAAGAAAAACCACAACACGGUACGUUUUCCUCCGCGCUAUUCAUCCUCCAGCAACUCGACUCGGCUUCAGCGCAGCCUGCGUCCCUGUUUGAUGUGUCUCAUAUGGUGUGAACACACACACGCUGAAUGGAAUGUUCAGCAGAGAUGUUCAAUCUCCUUUUCACAGAUAUGUAUUCAAGACACAGCAUCCUCUCUGAGAACAGCCUGACCGAUGAGGCAUCCCAA